GUAUGAACGGCAAAACCUCUUCCAACUGUCUCCCCUCCCAUCCUUUUAAAUUUCCUCCUGUGUGAAGAAGCACAGAUAUAUCAGAAAGACGAGAAGACCCUGUCGAGCUUUAACCACUAAGUGGGCCUUACCCUUUUCAGGCACCACCCAAAGGUUUUGGUUGGGGCAACCAUGGAGAAAAAAGAUCCUCCAGAACAAAUAGAAGAAAGCUCUUCACUAUUUUACGACUGAGAACCAGGAACUGGUAUUCGGAAAAAGUUACCGCAGGGAUAACAGCGUCAUCUCCUCUAAGAGUCCUUAUUGACGAGGAGGUUUGCGACCUCGAUGUUGGAUUGGGGCCCCCUUAGGGUGCAGAAGCUCUAAACGGUUAGACUGUUCGUCUAUUAAAGCCCUACAUGAUCUGA
rnacentral:rRNA from 1 species